rnacentral:rRNA from 1 species
GUGGGGAAUAUUGCACAAUGGGCGCAAGCCUGAUGCAGCAACGCCGCGUGAGGGACGACGGCCUUCGGGUUGUAAACCUCUUUUAGCAGGGAAGAAGCGAAAGUGACGGUACCUGCAGAAAAAGCACCGGCUAACUACGUGCCAGCAGCCGCGGUAAUACGUAGGGUGCAAGCGUUGUCCGGAAUUAUUGGGCGUAAAGAGCUCGUAGGCGGUUUGUCGCGUCUGCUGUGAAAACCCGAGGCCCAACCUCGGGCCUGCAGUGGGUACGGGCAGACUAGAGUGCGGUAGGGGAGAUUGGAAUUCCUGGUGUAGCGGUGGAAUGCGCAGAUAUCAGGAGGAACACCGAUGGCGAAGGCAGAUCUCUGGGCCGUAACUGACGCUGAGGAGCGAAAGCGUGGGGAGCGAACAGGAUUAGAUACCCCGGUAGUCC